UACGGAAGGCAGCAGUGGGGAAUAUUGCACAAUGGGCGCAAGCCUGAUGCAGCCAUGCCGCGUGUAUGAAGAAGGCCUUCGGGUUGUAAAGUACUUUCAGUCGUGAGGAAGGUGUUAAGGUUAAUAACCUUAGCAAUUGACGUUAGCGACAGAAGAAGCACCGGCUAACUCCGUGCCAGCAGCCGCGGUAAUACGGAGGGUGCGAGCGUUAAUCGGAAUUACUGGGCGUAAAGGGCACGCAGGCGGUUAAUUAAGUUGGAUGUGAAAUCCCCGGGCUUAACCUGGGAAUGGCAUUCAAGACUGGUUAGCUAGAGUCUUGUAGAGGGGGUAGAAUUCCGAUGUGUAGCGGUGAAAUGCGUAGAGAUGUGGAGGAAUACCGGUGGCGAAGGCGGCCCCUGGACAAGACUGACGCUCAUGUGCGAAAGCGUGGGGAGCGAAACAGGAUUAGAUACC
rnacentral:rRNA from 1 species